rnacentral:rRNA from 14 species
GUCUUUGGUCAUCCUACUCUGAAUGCAUAUGGUCUCAUCUGCUCUCGGAAGUUAAUCAAAAUUGGGUCUGAUUAGUAUGUGGAUAAAACCUAUCUUAAAUGUGGGUUAUAGAAUAAU